rnacentral:rRNA from 1 species
GACUUAAAGAUUAUAGAAGAACUACCUGGGAAGGUAGGCCAAAGAGAGUAAUAGCCUCGUAUUCGAAAUAGUCUUUAUACCUAGCAGUAUCCUGAGUACGGCGAGACACGAGAAAUCUCGUCGGAAUCUGGGAGGACCAUCUCCCAACCCUAAAUACUCCCUAGUGACCGAUAGUGAACCAGUACCGUGAGGGAAAGGUGAAAAGCACCCCGGGAGGGGAGUGAAAUAGAACCUGAAACCGUGUGCCUACAACAAGUUCGAGCCCGUUAAUGGGUGAGAGCGUGCCUUUUGUAGAAUGAACCGGCGAGUUACGAUAUGAUGCGAGGUUAAGUUGAAGAGACGGAGCCGUAGGGAAACCGAGUCUUAAUAGGGCGCAUUAGUAUCAUGUCGUAGACCCGAAACCAUGUGACCUACCCAUGAGCAGGUUGAAGGUGAGGUAAAACUCACUGGAGGACCGAACCAGGGCACGUUGAAAAGUGCUUGGAUGACUUGUGGGUAGCGGAGAAAUUCCAAACGAACUUGGAGAUAGCUGGUUCUCUCCGAAAUAGCUUUAGGGCUAGCGUCGAUGUUAAGUCUCUUGGAGGUAGAGCACUGUUUGGGUGAGGGGUCCAUCCCGGAUUACCAAUCUCAGAUAAACUCCGAAUGCCAACGAGAUAUAAUCGGCAGUCAGACUGCGAGUGCUAAGAUCCGUAGUCGAAAGGGAAACAGCCCAGACCACCAGCUAAGGUCCCAAAAUAUAUGUUAAGUGGAAAAGGAUGUGGGGUUGCACAGACAACUAGGAUGUUAGCUUAGAAGCAGCUAUUCAUUCAAAGAGUGCGUAAUAGCUCACUAGUCGAGUGACCCUGCGCCGAAAAUGUACCGGGGCUAAAACAUAUUACCGAAGCUGUGGAUACCUUUAUAGGUAUGGUAGGAGAGCGUUCUAUGUGCGAAGAAGGUGUACCGUGAGGAGUGCUGGAGCGCAUAGAAGUGAGAAUGCCGGUAUGAGUAGCGAAAGACAGGUGAGAAUCCUGUCCACCGUAAGACUAAGGUUUCCAGGGGAAGGCUCGUCCGCCCUGGGUUAGUCGGGACCUAAGGAGAGACCGAAAGGUGUAUCCGAUGGACAACAGGUUGAUAUUCCUGUACUAGAGUAUAUAGUGAUGGAGGGACGCAGUAGGCUAACUAAACCAGACGAUUGGAAGUGUCUGGCCAAGCAGUGAGGUGUGAUAUGAGUCAAAUGCUUAUAUCUAUAACAUUGAGCUGUGAUGGGGAGCGAAGUUUAGUAGCGAAGUUAGUGAUGUCACACUGCCGAGAAAAGCUUCUAGCGUUAAUUAUACUCUACCCGUACCGCAAACCGACACAGGUAGUCGAGGCGAGUAGCCUCAGGUGAGCGAGAGAACUCUCGUUAAGGAACUCGGCAAAAUGGCCCCGUAACUUCGGGAGAAGGGGCGCUGACUUAUGGUCAGCCGCAGUGAAUAGGCCCAAGCAACUGUUUAUCAAAAACACAGCUCUCUGCUAAAUCGUAAGAUGAUGUAUAGGGGGUGACGCCUGCCCGGUGCUGGAAGGUUAAGAGGAGUGCUUAGCAAUAGCGAAGGUAUGAAUUGAAGCCCCAGUAAACGGCGGCCGUAACUAUAACGGUCCUAAGGUAGCGAAAUUCCUUGUCGGGUAAGUUCCGACCCGCACGAAAGGCGUAAUGAUUUGGGCACUGUCUCAACGAGAGACUCGGUGAAAUUUUAGUACCUGUGAAGAUGCAGGUUACCCGCGACAGGACGGAAA